rnacentral:tRNA from 1 species
AUAUACUUGAGAAUAAUCCAAGAGGAUUCCUAAUCCUCAGCUGCAGGUUCGAGUCCUGCUGGGGACGCCA